rnacentral:rRNA from 1 species
UAGGGAAUCUUCCGCAAUGGACGAAAGUCUGACGGAGCAACGCCGCGUGAGUGAAGAAGGAUUUCGGUUCGUAAAACUCUGUUGUUAGGGAAGAAAAAAUGUAUAGUAACUAUAUACAAAAGAGACGGUACCUAACCAGAAAGCCACGGCUAACUACGUGCCAGCAGCCGCGGUAAUACGUAGGUGGCAAGCGUUGUCCGGAAUUAUUGGGCGUAAAGCGCGCGCAGGUGGUUUAGAAAGUCUGAUGUGAAAGCCCACGGCUCAACCGUGGAGGGUCAUUGGAAACUAAUAAACUUGAGUGCAGGAGAGAAAAGUGGAAUUCCUAGUGUAGCGGUGAAAUGCGUAGAGAUUAGGAGGAACACCGGUGGCGAAAGCGGCUUUUUGGCCUGCAACUGACACUGAGGCGCGAAAGCGUAGGGAGCAAACAGG